rnacentral:rRNA from 1 species
UACGAAGGGGGGCUAGCGUUGCUCGGAAUUACUGGGCGUAAAGGGCGCGUAGGCGGGUCGUUAAGUUAGAGGUGAAAGCCCAGGGCUCAACCCUGGAAUUGCCUUUAAUACUGUCGACCUCGAGUAUGGCAGAGGUGUGUGGAACUCCGAGUGUAGAGGUGAAAUUCGUAGAUAAUUCGGGAAGAACACCAGUGGCGAAGGCGGCU